rnacentral:piRNA from 1 species
UAACGCUACGCCCUGUUUUCC